CAGGAAUAACGAGCGGAUCCUGUAUAAAAAUUCUCUUCUUAUAAUUUGUGACAUAUAGACAAUUGCAAUUCGACACUCCCACGAACAUCAUUUUUGGUAUUUACCAAUUUAAGGCGAUCCUUCGUGCUGCCUUUCUGAUCUUUUUUGUGCUGAUUUCCUGCUCAAUAAUUCAACUGAAAUUGAAAAAAAACACUGCAGAUGAAUUGCUAAUGAUUUUCCGCUUCUUGGCCGAUUCUAACGUUGCAAGGACGUGCGUUAGCGGUGUUGUUGUUGGUGGUGGUGCGACUCUGUGCUGGCCUUUCUUUCUGCAGAUAUUUACUUUCUGGUUUACUUUUCAUUAAUUUUUGAUUUUUUUGUGCGUCUAUCUACAGUUUUUUGAUCCACAGACCACCAAUACGUGGCUGCUUACCGCUCCUUAAAUCUCAGCCCCCUCGCCGUAACAAACAAUAUGCUUGCAACGAAAAAAAUAAUAAAUAAUAAAAAAAUAUACGGCCGAGAUUCGAGCGCAAGAUCAGCACACGUACACAUGGAGAUCGACAGGUCUUUAAGGUCUAUAGUGGUUACAUAGAAGAGUGGUGAGAAUCGAGCAAGCAAUUUGGUAGUGCGCACACAACCAGCUGAUUGCAGGUGGAUGCGCUAUUGUGUAAUAAUACUUGUAUGUCCAUUGAAUUGCUACACCCCUCAACACUUGAGGAUUACCCAAGAAGAUCAACAGUCGAAUGGACCGUGUGACUUUCUGCGAUCGGAGUGCACGAGCAAAGCAGCUAACAACAAUGACUGGUAAACCAGCUGAUCCCGCUGAUGAUGAUGACUUUUCUAAUCAGACCUAAUGGGUAUCAUGAAAUAUUGCAAAAUCGUCGCCAGGACUAUGAUAUGAUCAAAAUUAGCAUUUAUGAAGUGGAAAGAUUGUUAGUAAUUGAACGGAUGAAAGUGUCUCAAUUGUGCUGCUGCGCUGACAGCUUGUCUAAAUUAUUGCCAUUUUUAGGCUACUUAAUAUGCAUGCUUCAACUUGGCCCUGAAAUGAAGUUCAUACAAUUUAAAUUAUGGACGUUAAGUUUUUUAUAUGAAUAAUACUAGAUUGGCCAGAUUUUUCGAAAUUGUGCAGCUCCUCAUAAUUGGUUAACACAGCAGGCCGUUAAAUCACUCUUUUCCAUCUACCGCAAGAUUAGAAAAGAUCCUUUCGGCGGCAGCGCAGACUUCACUUAAAAUUCAAAACUCACAUUAAAAAUAUAUUUUCAUACUUGCGCGGAGAUUUUUUGUGAUCAAAAUCGAUCUAAGCUGGUUAUUUCUACUGAAGUCAGUACCUAUCAAGUGCAAACCAGAUCAGACGAUGUCACGUAGCAAUGCGACAACUACGAAAAAUCUGUCAACGCACACACAACACAUAUUACAGUUUCAGUUAUGAUCAGGGCCGUAGAAAGAAAAUCGGAUGCCGGAGAAGAUAUAGAAUGCGGGCCCUCUGGUCCAUCAAUUGUUGGGAAAAAAAAUUUGCAAAAAAAUGUUGCCGAGUACCGGGCCACCCUAAGCACUCCGGGUCCGGGAGGAUUGGUCCUCGAUCUUCCCCCUCUCACGAUCACUGGUAAUGAUUGUUUUAUGUAGAGUUUACAUUAUUUUCGGUUUCCUCACAAACUUUGACCUUAAAAAAUGGUAACAAAAAUUAAAUUCUUUCUUGUGUAUUGCGCUUAAGAAGACGAUUAGGGUGCCUCAGCUCAGAUUGGUCAGGAUUUUCGGUUCAAAGUAUUUGAAAGGAGAAACAGCUUCCGAAAACUCGUUAGACCAUGUCGAAUGAAGUAUUCAUUACGACGAACAAAAAAUUAAUUCAAAAGUUACUGCAUUCAAUAUUGAUAUAUUCUUAAAUUAGUAUGAACAUGUAAGCCGAUUUUAAGUAAGAUUUAUUAAAUUUUUAAUUUGUAUGUUGUCAGAAUGCUAUUAUUUUUACGCGAACUGUACUAUAUACACUAUAGUGUCAUCCGUGUAAACACAAACUAAAUAAAUAAUAAAAUAUAUUCCAGUACCGACUUCGCAAUAUGUUAACAUUUUAUAUUUUAUUUGAUAAAAUGCCUUUGAAUCAUUCCUGGAAUAAAUGCGACAAACAAUUACAGACAAAUGAGGCAAGGCGACAUGCAGCCACUAUUCAGUGAACUUCACCGCCAAAGAGGACACCUUCGACUGGAAAUGGAUUCUUUUUUAUUUUAGCACAGCAAACGCUGAGAACCACAUAAGCACCUCAGUGACCUGUUGUCGAGUGCGUCGAACGCGCGGACCAGUUUGAGCCCGGCUAACAAGAUGUGGCGCGUACCUACUGGCCGCUAAUAUGGCAGGCAACAAGUGCAAAGAAUUCAGUUAAAUACUUAAUAUUAUACUAUGCAUAUUUUAUAUAAUAACUUUUAUAAAUUAAAUAAUUUCUCAUUUUUUAUUUCGUUAAUUUAUGUCUAUAUACAUGUGUGUAUAUGCGAGUCUUUGCAAGUGAUUGUAAAAGGAGUCAAGUAUUUAACGCUGCCUAAUUUCCUUGUGCCACAUAACAUUAUAAUCGGUGGCAUAUACUUGUAAUAAUAUGGAUUUCACAUGUGGUGUGAAUUUUGCGCUUAAAAGAGGCCGCAAAACACGUUGAUAGCCUGAAAGGAAUUGGAAUUGAAAGCUUUUAAGUUGCCAAGUACACACACACGCGCACACACAAGAGUAGAGGCACACACGUCCGAAUGGUCAUUAAGUCUCAAUGGCAGAAUAUGUCAUGGCAACGAAGGCAAACGCAGCGGUAGAAGACAUCGCAUAUACAUAUGUACAUACGUACAUACAUAUACAAACAUAUAUGUGCAUAUUUAUGUAGAAUAUAUGUUGCAGGCUGAAGCAAAUCACUGCAGCCCGGCAGGCAGAGUAAUCAAGCGGUACUUAUGAAACCGCAUUUCAAAGCUAAUUUUGUUGGCAAAAACUGAACGCAACAACAAAAGGCAGUCAUACAGUCAGACCCAACCGCAACUGCAGCGACAAUGCAAAAUUACUUCAUUCACAACAACAAAAAGGUGCAAGAGGGGAGGAACGACACAAGCGGCUUGGCGACCAAUAAAAUGUCGUAAGUAAGAGUUAAGAAGCCAAUAAAGUGAGUUCAAGUGGGCAGGUAAGGUGCGGCAGGGGUCCUAAAGUUAUGCCAUCAUAGUAAUGUGGCAUGCAUGCCACAUAUGCUACUCUGCGCCCCGCAAGAACCGUUUCGAUUACUUUGAUUUACUAAAAUAUUCCCACAGCACAUGUUUAAUCAUUCACUCAGUGCAGUUAUUAUUUCAGAUGAAUUGUCACUUUUAUGAUUUGUUCUAAAGUAUUGUAUUAUAUUGGGUAUAUUUACUGAAAAUUAUAUUUUUAGAGUCGAAGGUCUGAGGCUAAUUAUUGCUGUAUGGCGAUUAUAUGAUCCUGACGCUACUUCUUCCCAAUGCAAUCAUAAAGGCUUUACACUGCAAAAAUAACCCGAUAAAUUAUUAGCAACUAACCACAAUAGUGAAACCGAGAACCAAUGUGUGCUUGUCAAGCUUUAUAAAGAAAGUCACGCCUGCACUCAAGAUGCAACUCGUAUCGAAUUUAGUGAAUAUUUUUCACCCGGCCUUCAUGACAAUUGGGUAUACGUAGUACUACACGUAUGAACUAUCAGCAAAGGCAGUAUACAUAUCUAGAAAACAUAUUAGGACAUGUGAACCCAUCAUGUCCCAAAAAUUAUAUUGUAGAUUAUUACCGCCAGUGCUGCGAAUUUUUAAUUGAAAAAUUUCGGAUUAAAAAUAGGAUAUUGAUUUUUUUAAUGCAAUACCACUUUAAAAGUCUUUUACAAAUAUUUAACAGAAUUUGUAUGACACCUGGUUUCAUUACUCCAUCCAAGACACUUAAUACGAUUUUCGAUAAUUUGCUGCCACAUAUUGUUGAAAUCACGUUCAUUUAUUAAAACCGAUGCUGUGGCGCUUCCGAGUUGGUCUUCACUAAUUUAAGGACCAUCUUAGAUUCACCAUGUCUCAGAGAGUAGCGAAUCGAACAAACAAUUGAAAUACAUUCAAUAUAUUGUGCUUACGACUAAUGUCAGUGUUUGUGACCCUCACACUUUUUCUUUUGUACAAUUUUAAUUUUCAGCGGAUUUAUUGCAAAGAAUGGGACUUAAAAUGUUUUGGGCACAUUUAAGAGCUAAGCUAACUUUCGAUUAGAGGUUCCGCGCUUUUCUCGAAUAAGAUCUUUUGAAGUUCUGAAACAGCUAGAUCGUUGUUGGUUGAAUCUGUCUGCUUGAACACCUGUACCAAUGUUAUACUAAUUUUUUUUUUUGAAUUAUCCCCUUUUUAAGUUGGCUUAUAUUUUUUAAGCGGCUAGUGAAUCAAAUAAAAGCUGUCUAUUGUCAAGUGUUAGAAAUGUGUUAAUUGUCUACCGGAAAACUCUUUCCUAUAAUUUUUGAAUCGAUAUUAAUGAUAUUGAGAUGUUCCGCAGAAAACAACUUGGCGGCAAUGUAGGCCUUCAUAAUUACCUUCAACACAAUGAGUCCUGACAGCUAUUUAUAAUUACUAAAUUAAUCCAUGUUAUCCUGAUUGAAUGCUAGCGUCACAUCCGUUGGAAGAACGACUUAAUCCCUAUUCAGUUCAUUCAUUUCAGCAAGCCGCAAAUUGGCGUAACGCCUGUGUGGUCAAACCAGACAGCACUUGGCAGAACCGUUAUAUAAUUAUUUGCGAAUAGACAGGAAGACUUCCUCAUUAUGUUACUGUAUCAAUAGCUGUCAUAUUGCUUCUCUAAUCUGUCGUCGAUUACACCCUCGAGAUUUCUGACAAUUCCAUUACAUUAUUAACUACCGCACACUUUUUGUUGCCUAUUCAACAGAUUACUAACAAUAUAACAAUUUUCGUUUUCCGCACAUUGUUAUUGCAUACGGCUUUGUGCAAUUAUUGACAGUUAUAAAUCCAACAACUGUGAUUUGUUUUCGUGCGCAAUCAAGUGUAGCAUAUCCUGUACUUCCGAUCCACGCCUGCGCCGAUCGUUUUUGGUGCAAAUAUAUUUAGCCAUAGAUUCACAUAUAUAAAGGUGUAUGGGUGUAUGUGGGAAGAUCCAAGUAUGAAGUAUGAGAAUUGCGACGGUUAUGAGUUCCGAGUACGUGUGGCCUUUUUGCUCACUCAUCCGUCCAACUACUUUCAUAAAUACUCGUAUAUGUACUCGCUUAUUGCUUUAUUGUUUACUUUGCUUAUAGUUAUUUUCUUUGCUGUAUAUUUCCAAUUAUUUGCACUUGUACGUGUGUGUUCUUUGUUAAAUUUGUACGUUAUUCUUACUUUAGCUGUAUCUUCUCUUUUUCUUUGUUUUUAUUUUUUGUUCAUCUUGUCUCGUUCUCCGCCUUUUUUAUCCUUCAAUGAACACGUUUCAUGUGCGUAGGAGUUUUUUUAUGUGUUUGUUGCCUUCGUUAAUCACUUGUGGCAUGAUCACUUGUUAUGCCACACAACAAGCUCUUAUGCAUACACUUCUUUAUACAAGUAUAUGUAUGUUGAAGCAAAGGCCCGUAAUAAAAGAAGUCUUUGCUGGUUAUAUUUCACCAGUUCAUGUGUUACACAAUCAAGUUAAUCAAUAUGUUGCAGAUCUUUGUUGCAAACACGUUCAAAUUGUUUUAUGAUCCAAGGGUGGGGCUGACAGAAUAUAUACCAUCUAUACUAUAUUCGGCAGGCAAUUUGUUCUGCUUAUCUUAACUACAUAUAUAUUAUAUAUAAUAUAUAAUAUAUAGGACAUCAAAGGGGAGAAAUACUUAAAAAUAAUGAACUGAUUUGAACAAAAACCGCGCAAACUCUACACACUUUUGAAAUGGAACACUGUAUUCGUUUGAAAUUUUUAUCGAUCAUCGAAUUUUUAUAGUUUAUAAUGGUGUUUUCACAUUUUUUUCGAGCAGCUAUGAUCUCUUAGCAUACAAUAUCUUAUAAAGGCAAGCAUGAUUUCUAGGAAUUGAAUUCCCAAGCAUUCGUAGAGAGCCUUCAUUAUCAUUGAAGGGCAGGUAUAUAAUUUCGUAAAAUAUUAUUUGAGUACUGCCAGUACUUCGAACCAAGGAACUCUUUACACCAUAUUUUACAAUAUUACCUUUUAAAGAUGCUGGGCUACAAAUGACUUUUAUUAGUAGCUUAGACAUCAGAAAAGUAAUAUAUUUGUUGAUAACAGAUCUCAGAACACGAGCCUGUAACAGCCAUGCAUAGUUAACCUUAACUAUAAAACAAUGGAAAGCAAAUGGUCUUCACUCCAAACGAUGACCUGAAGGCGAAGAUGGUAUAACUUUAUCAUCAGCGAGAAGGAAACUCCCACGGAUUUGCCCCGGAACUAGGCUCGGCUGAAGAAGACCAAUCACAUAUAAAUCUUAAACGUCUCGAAUAUGGAAACCGAAAGGUUAUAAAUAUGUUCCAACUAGCCACUGCGGAAUAGAGUUCGCUUAGUUACAGCUGAAAGGCAGCUAAAAUAUUUUCAAAGUUUAGUCUCAUACAAGUUAUUAUGAUUAUUAUUCCUUUAUUCAAUAUUUCGCAUAUCUAUGAACUUCUGCACUCAUACAUGCAUAUGUAUGUACAUAUGUGCAAGCAUUCUCCAUCCUUUCGCUGCGACUACAAACCUGUGCGUUGCUGAAAAUGCAGAAAUUUUGGCGCCAAAAUGCAAUGCCCGCCAAACCAGUCGCUUGCCGCUCUUCUUUUAAUACUUUUAUUGCCUUUUUAACAGCAAAUUUGUUAUUUUUUAUCUUUAUUUGUUUCUCCACUUUUCAACUCACUCACGCAUGCGCGCCUGUCGCAAGUAUGGUGGCGCUCUUUCGCAGCAUUGCUGUGAUUUGCCUCUUGAGUGGAUUUCUGUCGUGGAGUACGCACGAAGACCGGACGAGGCUCGAGCCAAUCUUUAUUUGAUUUUAUUUUUUCGUCUUUUUGAUUUUGUUUUAUUUAUUUUUAGAUGUUCGUCAGCUGAUUACAUAUCAGCGAAACGAUCGCGUUUUUUAUUUUUCAAUGAGCUGAAAUAUUUUAUGUGUGUAGACAUACAUACUUGUACAUACAUAUGUACAUAUCAUAUAUUAUAUAUGUGUAAGUCAUAUAUGUAGAUGAAGAUAUUUAUUUGCUUUUCUUUUUGGUGUGAAAGUAAGGGAUAGUGCAGUGGAUAGGAGGUAUACUGCAAUCUUGUUAACACUUUUUUUUUAAUUUUUUAUUGCUCGUCAUGAUGUUACGACCAGCUGAUUCGAAUAUAUAUGGCUUUAAACUAAAUAUCUGAUUUUUAAGGACUUUCAGUAUACCAGGUAUAACAAGCCGGUUCCUCACUAUACUUCCUUUAACCUAUUUUAUCACUCGAAAUCCCCAUACAAGUUGAAUCAAAAAAUACCACCAUCCUUUCGGCUUUUCGUGUAUUCUUCUCACUUAUUUGCUCGUCUCACCACCUCCAAGUAACCAGCUUUUAUAAUAAUUCUUUUCAAAGAAUUUUCGGCAUAAAAACUUGUACUACAGCAUUCCAUGGGAUAUCCACGAAAAAACAACACGUCUGGUGAAUAAUGGCAUCGCAAGUAUUUCGCAAUCAGAGACGGAAACCGUGGACGCUGGGCGGCUGAAUGCUACCAAAACACAAAAAAAAAAGAAUAAAAACUCCUGUUCCUUUUUGGACUUGAUUGUGGGCAUUUUGUGCGGUGGCCCAAAGAUACACUUGGCCGAGCGACAAGGCACACACUCAAAUCGAGCUGUCAAGCGCGCAGUCAAAUCUCACCGGCACACCCGCCCGGCACCUAGCUUGAACCGCACUUACUACGCCAACAAGCAGGUAGUGACCGUGCAUAAGGCGGUAGGAAGUUUCGGCAAAACAGGGCCGCCUAAACAUAUGCUCGCAUACGCUUCUGGAGAUCGUCAACUGCUCGCGGUCGCAGAGAAGCCGCCUAAGUGCACAUUUCUCGGUAAUGCAAAUAAUCGUAUGCACAUAACUAGUGUGUAUGUAUGUAUGGGUUAAUGUGAGUACCUGUAGGCGACACGUUGUGCUAGUGCGGGAUUACUUUUGUCCACAUACAAACAUUAAUAUGUAGGUGUUUGUGUGUGUCAAAAUGCUUAUGAUUCUUUUUUAUUAGCUUACUCCUUCGAUUUAUGCUCUUAUUUAUGUUAUACAUAUGCGCACUCGGCAUAGGAGUCAAACCGAAAGAGCGGUGGUGCAGAGCGGAGUGUCGGGUAGACACAUGAUCGCCUCGUUUGCGGUGUUAUUGUUGUUCUUGUUAUAUUUUGUUUUGUUUGCAUGUCGUUAAACAUUUUUUCGUGCAUUUGCCGGCGUUCAUUGAUGAACCUUUUCAGCUGGAUUCAUGCGACCAACCGACCAUCAAUGGACAUUAAAUUACUCUUUCAUUUCAUUCGUUGCAACGCUCGCAUGUGGGGUGUGACAACAGUUCGCUAAACGCUGGGAAAUUUCGAUACAGCCGAAAAUUGCAAAGUGGUAUGGUAUCUAUGUUAUACUAAGGUCGCUUUCUAUGAAACACUUUAUCGUGGGUGGAUUAAGAUCCUUAAAGUUAUUCGAAUGUUUUCUUAAAUAUGUUAUUGUGACAGAUUAAAGCUAUAAUCUCUUCUAUUUUAUAAUUUUUACAAAAAUAAAAAAUAAGUCCUUUUCUUGUGAUUAUACAAAUCUAUACAUAAAAGUAUAUUAUUUUCUUAUCGAUUAUUACAAAAUAAUAGACAGGAGGUCACGAAAAAUUGUGUACGUCCCGUAGGCAGGAAAAAAGAGGCGAAACCGUAAACGAGUAUUAUUGUUGAAAAGUUUAAGCCAUUGAAAUAUUUAAACCUUUAUGACUAAUAAAGCAUUUUGAAAACAUAUAAUAUUUCCUAAUAAAUAUGGAUGAACUAAAUUGCCUUAGAGCUGUGUUAUGUUCCAUAACAUAAAAUAGAAUUGAUGGAAAAUAAAGAAAUAAUGAAAAAAAUAUAAAUAAUAAAUACAUAAAAGAGAUCAAAAACAUGGGUUUUUAUUAAUUCUAAAUUACUGUAAACUAUUACGGUACCAGUGGCGAUAAUUUAAGAGCUAUACCUUUAAAAAUAACAUACUAAGAUUUUUAAUCUCUUUCUUUAAUCAGCUCCAGUGAUUACUCGGAGCCAAAUGAUCCGAUCACCAUCAAAGAUUUUGACUUGAUCAAAAUUAGAAGUUUUUUUAGAAUUAUGUCCACGGAGAAGGGUGGAAUCCCCUGCAGCUGU